AGCUAUAAUGCAAGUCGAGCGAAUGAUGAGGAGCUUGCUCCUCUGAUUUAGCGGCGGACGGGUGAGUAACACGUGGGUAAUCUGCCUGUAAGACGGGGAUAACUCCGGGAAACCGGGGCUAAUACCGGAUAAUAAGAGAAGAAGCAUUUCUUCUUUUUGAAAGUCGGUUUCGGCUGACACUUACAGAUGAGCCCGCGGCGCAUUAGCUAGUUGGUGAGGUAACGGCUCACCAAGGCGACGAUGCGUAGCCGACCUGAGAGGGUGAUCGGCCACACUGGGACUGAGACACGGCCCAGACUCCUACGGGAGGCAGCAGUAGGGAAUCUUCGGCAAUGGGCGAAAGCCUGACCGAGCAACGCCGCGUGAGCGAUGAAGGCCUUCGGGUCGUAAAGCUCUGUUGUUAGAGAAGAACAAGUACGAGAGUAACUGCUCGUACCUUGACGGUACCUAACCAGAAAGCCACGGCUAACUACGUGCCAGCAGCCGCGGUAAUACGUAGGUGGCAAGCGUUAUCCGGAAUUAUUGGGCGUAAAGCGCGCGCAGGCGGUCUCUUAAGUCUGAUGUGAAAGCCCACGGCUCAACCGUGGAGGGUCAUUGGAAACUGGGAGACUUGAGUGCAGGAGAGAAAAGUGGAAUUCCACGUGUAGCGGUGAAAUGCGUAGAGAUGUG
rnacentral:rRNA from 1 species